CAGCUCUGCGAGGGCCCCGAGCACGAGGUCACCUCGGGCCGUCGAGAGCUAGCCCAUCCAGAUUCAAAAAUUGUUGUGACUGGUUCUGACUAAGCUCCUGCCAUCUACCUGUUUGAUGUUAUGCCCAUAAGAACUAAAAGAUCUAAUUUCUUCAGGUUUGUUUGUGGGAUUUUGAGAGCUACGGCAAUAGUAAAUUGGCAGUACAUGUAAAUACAUCUGGUUCAAGAUUGUUUUGUUGAUUUUGAUUUGGUGACUUUUAUCUUGCUAUAGGCAGUGUCGUGUAGCUCCAGCUGCUGGAUAUGGUUCACCUUGGAGUGGUUCUGAUACACGAGGUAAAUUUGAUGCAAAGACAGAGCACAAGUCCGUAACUACAAGGUUCUCUAGGAUGUAUUCAAACAAGCUGUCGAUAAGAAAGGUACCGCCUCUCGGCCUUUCCAUUUUUCCUUUGGUCCAUGAAUUGCUCAUGAUUUAAUUUUGCAAUUGUCUUGUAUGCAAACAUCGUGUUGAGAUUUAACCUAGAACACAUUCCUGAUGUUAGUAAAUGGUAAUGGUUAAAUAAUCAUUUCACAGUGUAGAUCGACUAUGUAUGACUAUCCAUGUUGUAGAUUGGUUCAUCAUAAUUUUGGACAAGAGAGAUUUGUUCUCAUGCUUUCAAGUUGUGAUCUCUAUCCCUAAUUCUGAUGUUGGAAGCAUUGCAACCAUAAGAGGUUUUUCUGUUUUUUUCUGUCCAGUCUGUUAACUAUGACUCUGUAUUGAUUAUCUA